UGAAGUCAGGUGUCACACACAUACCAUUCCUCCACUAUUGGAGAUACUGCUGAGAACCCAAGAGGAGAAACAAGGCCUGAGCACUCAAAACAGCCCCCACUGAGCCUUGCAUGCAAAGCCCUGGAUAUGGGAAGAUGCAGAGACCGUCUCUCAACAUUCAAGCAGCUGGCAUUCUCACCACAGUUCCCAGUUGCUCUUUUUAAUCUGCCAGGUGGCUUAGAAAUGGAUGUCAAAGCAAGAGUUUCCUGCUUCUUGGGAGACACUGAGCAGCAACAAAUAAGCUGGAUGAGUUCACAAACAUGGUGAGACAGGGAAUAAGCUCUCCUCCCCACUCUAGCCUCCACCCCCAGCUUGAGGUUUUGCAUCCUUGCCACUUGAAGGCAUUUCCAGAAGUACUUCAAGCUGUUGGGCACAGAAUAUAUUCAUCCUGGCCUUCCCUGUCAUGAUUGUCCAGGCUCUGGCUCAGAGCAGGAGCUCCAUGGCUGAUGAACCAACCUCAUGACCUUCAAGCCACAUAUUCUUCUGUAAAUCAGCUGCUACCUGACCAAGGCCCAGAACAGUCACUGCCUGAGUCAUCUUGAGCAAUCUUGUAUUAACGGUGAACUACAGAGGUGCAGAAGAAUUUAAUCCAUAGUUGGAUGUGAACUCCAGCCUCUGGUAUGUAUGAUGACACGUGCCAUCUUUUAAAGCUUAUAGAACCCCCUAUUGUGCUUAAACACAAACACAAAGCAUUAGGAUUAGCAUUCAUAACAGAUAUGCCCACUUGGGUGCGAAAGAAGUGACUUAGUGACCAUUAGAAUUAGAACUCUCUGGUGAGGUGUGAGGACCAGUAGCCUCAGAUCACCUGGGAUCAAGGUAGAAAAACAUGUUCUUGGGCCUCCCCAGACGCACUGGAUCACAUCUGCACCCAUCUCCCCAUCCUGUAUCAUUUGGAAAUACAUUCAGUUUCAUCAGCAGAAGAUUUCUAUGAUAUUUUUUGGCAUUGAAAGUUGGCUUUGGUAAGCUUAUAUGUUAACAAUGGAAGGAUGACAGUUCAGAACAUGGGCCUGACUUUAGAUCUUGCUGCAUUAUCCAGAUGGCCUUCUGACUUCCCCAAGACUCAACUUCCUCAUCUGCAAAAUGGGAAUAAAAAGAGUGAUUUACUCGAGAAACCUGCUGUGGACAUUAAUUGAAAAUAUGCAUGUAGAAAUCUUGGGACUGAGUCCUUCCUACAUGUAAGCUAUUAUUAUCUUUGCAUCACCAAAAUAACAACCAUUUAUUAGGUGUUUACUGUGUGUUAAAUACUGGGCCAAGCACUUCAUACCACACUUGGAGAUAUCAUCAUCUUACCAAAGAGGAGACCGAAGGUCAGAGUGGGUCAAGAUCGUGGGUUGAGAUCUGGCUCCCCAAGGCUAGCAGGGCUUUUUCUAAGCCAUGUUACAUCCUGAGAGUUGGGGCAGAAUUUUGACAUGCGAGGUAAGGAGGGAAUAUAAUUUCUGUGUAUUAGGAUAUUAGCAUCAUGUCACACAGAGUAACCCCAGAAUUGCUUGUGCAAUUUAAUUUGCCUUUGCCAUGACUCGCCUUUGCCAGUGUAUAUUUAUCUUAUAGCU